rnacentral:lncRNA from 1 species
UUAGCGCUGGCUCUCCUGGGCUCACACCCUGAUUUGCAUUGCAGGCAACCUGGAGCAGGAAUUUCUGGAAUUUCUGCAGCUGUAGCUACAGCACUGAUUUCAUCUUGUGAUUGCGACUUAAACAGCUGUGAAACCACAGCCAGCUCUUGCAGGCCAGCGUUCCUGUACAGCCCACAUGUAGAGGAAGCCUCCAGAUGUUUUGGGAGCACAGACAGCGAGGAGCUCUGACAACUGAAGCUGGAACAUACGGAGUGUUUAUAGCACAAGAGUCAUUACACGAAAGUAGGCCUUGGAAGAAGGGUGAGAUGGUUUGGACUGUCCUUUCACAUUAAUUUAGGUAUCUUCUGCUGUUUUGGUUGAGUAAAUUGACCGUUAAGUUUAAAAUUCAACAAAAAGAAAAAUAAAUCCUUGAAGUUUCUCUAAAGAAACA